UUUUGCCUACGGGACGCAGCAGUGGGGAAUAUUGCACAAUGGGGGGAACCCUGAUGCAGCAAUGCCGCGUGGGAGAAGAAGCACUCCGGUGCGUAAAGCCCUGUCAGCAGGGAAGAAAAUGACAGUACCUGGACAAGAAGCCCCGGCUAACUACGUGCCAGCAGCCGCGGUAAUACGUAGGGGGCAAGCGUUAUCCGGAUUUACUGGGUGUAAAGGGAGCGCAGGCGGCGUGGCAAGUCAGAUGUGAAAAACCGGGGCCCAACCCCGGGAGUGCAUUUGAAAAUGCCAUGCUGGAGUGCCGGAGG
rnacentral:rRNA from 1 species